rnacentral:lncRNA from 1 species
GUUUUAAGGGUCCCCCUCGACUGCACGUGCACCCUUACCUUUCCUGCCUGCGACAGCGGGUGACCUCCCUGCCCUCCUUUUUUCUCUGCAGGUCCGGAAAUCUGCGUUGAGUCUGGAACUACCCAGCUCCAGCCUUGGUAGACGACCCGCGCACUCCUCUUGCAGCUAAUUCGGGAUCAUUAAUUUAAUCGGAAAUGAGGUAACCAGUGUAGGAGAUAGAGAAAGCAAACCAAGCAUCGAAUGGCAGUUCUCGUGAAUCCACGCUGAAGAACUUCCUCUGGACUCGAUUUUUAAGCGCGGUUGUCAACACCCCACCACCCGGCCCCCUCCGCGUGUACCACCGCCAGGUGUUAGCUUGCCGGGAAGGAAUCUUCUUUGGAGGGGUGCACCUUGCCAACAGGUGCUUAGAACCAAGCGUCUGCAAACGUGAUCCCUCCACGUAAGUUUCUCUCUGGAAGCCACCGCUAUUGACUGUAAGCUGUAUUUAAGAAACCUUGGCUGAGUUUACUUAUGACCUAACGGUUAGUCACCAACUGAAGCAGGAUACAGAAUCACCAAGAGAAAUGUGUCAGCUUUUAAACAACUGUAUUAUUGUCAAGCCAACGUGCUACAGAAAUAAAAAUAAGCAUACUAACUAGCAAGGUGUAGAGCCCCGGAAAUGAUUUUUUUCUCACAUUUUGAAAUACCAUGCACAUGUACAUGGCUACUUAAAUAGAACUACUACUGUUCAUUCACUCUUACUC